rnacentral:rRNA from 1 species
UACGUAGGGUGCGAGCGUUGUCCGGAAUUAUUGGGCGUAAAGAGCUCGUAGGCGGCUUGUCGCGUCGGCUGUGAAAACCCGCGGCUCAACUGUGGGCGGGCAGCUGAUACGGGCAGGCUGGAGUUCGGUAGGGGAGAAUGGAAUUCUUGGUGUAGCGGUGAAAUGCGUAGAUAUCAAGAGGAACACCUGAGGUGAAGACGGGUUGCUAGGCUGACACUGACGCUGAGGCGCGAAAGCCAGGGGGAGCAAAACGGG